AUUGAACGCUGGCGGCAUGCCUUACACAUGCAAGUCGAACGGCAGCACGGGAGCUUGCUCCUGGUGGCGAGUGGCGAACGGGUGAGUAAUGCAUCGGAACGUGCCCUGAAGUGGGGGAUAACGUAGCGAAAGUUACGCUAAUACCGCAUAUUCUGUGAGCAGGAAAGCAGGGGAUCUUCGGACCUUGCGCCUUUGGAGCGGCCGAUGUCGGAUUAGCUAGUUGGUGGGGUAAAGGCCCACCAAGGCGACGAUCCGUAGCGGGUCUGAGAGGAUGAUCCGCCACACUGGAACUGAGACACGGUCCAGACUCCUACGGGAGGCAGCAGUGGGGAAUUUUGGACAAUGGGCGCAAGCCUGAUCCAGCCAUGCCGCGUGAGUGAAGAAGGCCUUC
rnacentral:rRNA from 1 species